rnacentral:lncRNA from 1 species
UUUUCUACUCCACAGCUGCUGCUGCUGCAACUUCCCGCAACAAUUUGUUGGCGGAAAUGCUAGUGAAUUCACUUGGUUUCUCCACAGAAAAAGCUAUUUCUACUAGCGCCAAGGUAACUUUCUUGAAACCUGGAAACAACAAGCCUCAAUUAGUCAUCAAUUUCUUCCAACAAAUUGGUUUGGACAAGACCCACAUCAAAACCCUUGUUUGUGCCACCCCUAGUUUGCUGUUUUCUGAUGUUGACAAAACCCUUAAACCCAAAAUUAAGGUUCUUCAAGAACUUGGAUUAUCUGGGUCCGACAUAGCUAAAGUCCUCUCAAAAACUGGGAUUUUCUUGCUUUCUAGUCUUGAAAAUACAAUCAGACGCAAUAUUAGUUAUCUCCGACAACUGUUAGGUAGUGAUGAUUCUCUUGCUAAAGCCAUUAGGAAAGACUCUAAAAUCCUUUGGUAUAAUGCCCCUAAAGUAAUGUCACCCAAUGUAGCUUUCCUGCGAAAUCUUGGGUUUUCAGGUAAGGAUAUCGAGAAGCUUAUUCUACGAGAUCCAAGGAUUCUUCUUCUAAAAGAGACUAAGUGGCUUGAGAAUGCAGUGCAUCGAGUAGAAAGGAAUUUACACAUUCCUCGGGACUCCAACAUGUUUAUCUAUGGAUUUAUGGUUACUGCAUCCCUUGGGGAAUCAUGUUUGGAGAUGAAAUUAAGAACUUUCAGGAGAUUUGGGUGGUCCGAUUUGGAAAUUCUUACACUGGUGCAGAAACUUCCUUUAUGCUUGACCUCAUCAGAGGCUAGGCUUGGAAAAGGAUUGAAUUUUUUCAUGAAGGAGCUUGCCGGUUACCUGGCUUCUCACCCCGCUCUCUUAACAUUCAGCUUGGAGAAGAGGGUAUUGCCUAGGCAUGAAAUCUUGAAACUUCUUGACCAGAAGAAGCUGGCAAAGAGUAGCCUAAAUCUUUAUACUGCUCUGAUGGUGCCUGAAUCAAAAUUUUUGAAUAGUUAUGUGCUGCCUUAUACAGAUGAGACGCCUGAGCUCUAUGAGUUAUACAUGAAUAGUAGACGAUAGUAGAAUGCGUCGAGGAAACCACUUUGUGGAUAAUGUUGUUCUCAAGAAAAUCUCUUCUUGGAAACGUUAGCUGGUUCACCUUUCAUAGCUUAGGAGAGAUUCUGUUGACGAAUAGAUUCUUAUUUGCCAUUUGAUGCUGUUUUCCUAAGUGGAGAAUGAAGACAGUUUUACCUUCUAUUAUGUGGAUUUAUAAAUGCAGAAAUGCAUGGUAAGACUGCGUACGGCGGGUGCUUAGUGCACCGGGCUUCCCUUUUUUUAUGUGGAUUUAUAAAUGUAUAUCUCUAUCAAGAUAAUUUCCUGGUUGUAGCUGAAAUUUCCACCUCCUUUCGGUCGUUUUGAGUUUGGUGCUGCUAAAGCCAUAACCUGCAGCACUCUAUUCAAAUGAUAUACUCUUGCUUGGGAUGAUUUGCAAGUCUAUCUUUUAUCAGUGGAUAGUAUUGCUGCUAAAGUUCCUUCAUUGUCUUUCUGUCUUUCAUCUUUUGACCCCCUAGGGUGAAGGGGUUGUUACAACAACAACUACUACUACUACUACUACUACAUCUCAGUCCAAAAGGAGAAUGCUUGUUAGAGUAAAAGAAAUACUAUACUAUGGUUUCUGUAAUUCGAAACUCCAAGAAGAUAGAAACUAAUAAGAAUACACAUAGCUGAAGAAGAUUUGGUUAAGAAGUCAAGUUAAAGCUUUUUCUUGUAAAAAUAUAUGCUGAAAAUAUAUUUCCAAAUGCUUAAUUUAAUCAGCAUUGUAGGCUCUAAAAGCAGCUUCUUUACAUAUGUAAUCAGCACUUACCCCAUUUUCAAAGAUUCCUUGGUGCUGAACAUGUCAAUAAGAUUUUGAAUGCUACUGGUGUAAUGGUUUGGAACAUUUUCAACAUCAAUGUACACAUGCCUAUUUCAAUUUGGAUACUCAAUCCUAGCUUCAUUUACUAGCAGUUUACUCACAAUAUCUGGAGAAAUCAUCGUGAGUUGAAAGUCGACCAUCAUCCAGAUGACGAUGUAUCUUGGCUUGAGUUCUUUGACAGAUGGCGGCAGGGAGGUCUCCUUUGACAGUAAAUUCACCUGAAUGAAGUGCAAGAGCGAUCUCAGUAGACUUAAGAGUAGCAUUUAUUUUACAUUUAAGUUAAUGAGGAAUAUUAAGUUUUUGGCCGCCUCAUUAAACAAUUUCAAGCUGAUUGGAGUGGUGAAUUCCAAGCUUUAACUUCAUAUUUAAGAACUCAUGGCAUUACCCAAUGUAUUUCAUGCCCCCACACACUUGUUGUGCUGAGCGAAAGCAUCGCCAUGCUACUGAGCACUCUUGCAUCAUGCCUGUAAAAUGGGCCAUAUGUUAUAAACGGAAGCAACUAAAUAUCAUAAACGGAAGCAUGAUUCUCUCAUAGGUCUUCUAAUUAGAAAUAAAAUAAGGUUUUGGUAGUUUCAAUUUCUAUGCAUUUUAGGAAAAACGUUGGCCUCAAAUUGAGCUUAUCCACAACAAAUUAAUAUUGACCAUAGAGUAAUGAAUAUGCG